rnacentral:SRP_RNA from 2 species
CUAUGCUUAGGCGGGGAGCUAGCGGUGCCCUGAACCUGCAAUCCGCUAUAGCAGGGCCGAAAGGCCACCCGAGGUUUGGUCCUGUGGGUAAGAAGGGAGAGAUGAAAGCGAUGAAGAUUAGGAGCUGUGCACUAAGAGGGCCUCAAACCCCGCCAGGUCCGAAAGGAAGCAACGGUAAGAGGUACCUCUUAGGUGCCGCAGUAAACCUAAUCGGAGCUUUUCUAUCUCUCUUCUCCCGGAGGAUCAAAUCGACGGUGGAGGCAUAG